rnacentral:lncRNA from 1 species
GGGAAUUUUUACCCAAAACCGAGAGCUACACUACCAACACAGACGCAAAGUGCAAGAAAAUAAGGAACAUAGAAAAUGUUCACCCAGUUCGGCCUGAAUGGCUUAAUCUGGGUGGCUCAGAGUCAGUCCAAUUCACUAGUGCAAUUCUACUUCCCAGAGAGAGUACAGUACACAAAACCAAAUGAGCACAACCAGAUCAAUUAUCGAUCCAAAUGGAUCUCAAAUCUGGACACAACACAUUGCUUCCUCUCAAACCGGCCACAACUACAUAAGUACAACAGAUCGCCUACACAAACUAUCUCCUAGUUAUUGUAGCACACGAGAUUUACAGAAUCUUACAAAAGAACAAUAAUCUCCAAAUUCUAAGGGCCAAGAAGGAGGAAGAAGAAAGUCUCCCAAAAUAAAGAGAGAGAAACAAGAGAUAUUCAAAAGGUCGGUCUAAAAAAUCUGACCCUCCCAGCCGUAUACACUAGAAACCAAGAGCCAGCCAUAUUUUGAUCUCCACCGUUCAUUCAAUCGAACGAUUCACACACGGCCAAAAGAAACACAGAUCCAAGUUAUAUGGAAUGAACGAAUCAGGAACUGUCACGUAAUGUCCACCAACUUAAGGUGCUGAAAAACGUCCAGAUUACCCUCUCAUAAGUUGCAAUUUUAGAGAAACACGUUUUUCUCCUUUAAUCUUCACCUUGGUUCUCAAAAUUGCACUCACUCUCUCAGUUGCUGAAUUGCACAUUUGUGGAAAGGCUGACCAACAUCAUUGCCCAAGGUACCUGCAAAUUAAAUUACACAGUAUCAAUAUUCAGAAGUGACAGACAAGUUCUGAAUUUACUUACAGGCAGAAUUUUAGUGCCCAUAUCAGAUGGAUUAAUGUCAGUAUGAUUUUCCCAAUAACCAUUUCAUCUGAAGAGAGUUUUUCUCUUAUAAAAUGGUACUUCACCUCAAUGUGCUUAGACCUUUCAUGGUAGACAGGGUUCUCGCUUAAUAAUAAGGCACUUUGACUAUCAGUAAGUAUAACUGGUGAAGUUAAUAGAAAAUUCAGUUCACUUAAAAUUCCUUUGAGCCACAUACAUUCUUUAACACAUUAAGUAAUAGCCACAUAUUCAGCUUCAGUACUCGAUAAAGUGACGAUAGGUAGAAGUUGAGACUUCCAGGUGAUACAAUUAUCACCAAGUAUAAAGAAAUAAGCAGUGGUGUAUUUUCUUUGAUCUUUAUCUCCUGCAAAAUCAGAAUCUACGUACCCCUUGAGGGUUAAUG